rnacentral:rRNA from 1 species
ACUCCUACGGGAGGCAGCAGUGGGGAAUAUUGCACAAUGGGGGAAACCCUGAUGCAGCCAUGCCGCGUGUGUGAAGAAGGCCUUCGGUUGUAAAGCACUUUCAGUAGGGAGGAAGGUAGUGUAGUUAACACCUGCAUUAUUUGACGUUACCUACAGAAGAAGCACCGGCUAACUCCGUGCCAGCAGCCGCGGUAAUACGGAGGGUGCGAGCGUUAAUCGGAAUUACUGGGCGUAAAGCGCAUGCAGGCGGCCUGUUAAGUCAGAUGUGAAAGCCCGGGGCUUAACCUCGGAAUUGCAUUUGAAACUGGCAGGCUAGAGUCUUGUAGAGGGGUUAGAAUUUCAGGUGUAGCGGUGAAAUGCGUAGAGAUCUGAAGGAAUACCAGUGGCGAAGGCGGCCCCUGGACAAAGACUGACGCUCAGAUGCGAAAGCGUGGGAGCAAACAGGAUUAGAUACCCCGUGGUAGACUGUCA